ACUUUCUACACAAAGUGUAUGUCGGUGCCCACCUAUGCCAACUAGGUGUACGGUAAUACGGUGUACACUGGUGUACUGCGAGAGGUAGGUGCUGCAUUUGGUUGUCCAUUACCUACGUACAGAGAGCUGUACGCCCAUUUACCGUUUUUUAAAUCGUAUCUAUUGCAUAGUCACUGCAGCGUACCUAGUCCGGGCGGCUAGUCGCGCGUCGUUCGAUCAUUAUUUGUGUCGUAAUAUUAUAUACCGCGGUCUCACGAUUUUCGUUCGGAUCACAAACAUAUCACUUACACAUCGUAAUAUAAUGGAAUGUAUAUAAUAAUAUAUAGGUAGGUAGGUCGGUCAUAUCUGCAGUGUAUCGCGGCGAUCUCGAAAAAUCGAAAAAUUGUCGAUCGUUUCGCUUUCAUGUCAUACAUAGCAAAAUUUGCAAACGUAAAAAAGAAUUCGUUCGACGUAUACAUAACAUUAAUAUGUUAUUAUAAUAUUCACCUAUUCGAGGCGGAAUGAAACAAAUAUAUUAAUGCUGUGCGAAGUGGGACGGAUAUGCGCGAGUGUACAUGAAAUCUGGCUGAAUCCGCGCAGUCCGGCGGUGGCGGCGACAGACGGUGUUUUCAAAAGUGAAAUAAAUGAAAAAUGGUUCAUCAUCGAUCGUCGCUAACUUCAACAACCGAAACCGUUCCUAUUAUCAACACCUGUGAUUCAUGAAGACUAGUGAUAAUUUUUCGGGUUCUGUUAUUAUUUUGUAGAUAUUUAGUCAUUGUAUAAUAUUAUUAUUAUUAUUAUUAUUAUGUGUUUUUUAAAUGUCGCGAAAAUGUUCUGUUAUAGAAUUCACUCGACGAGUUUUUUUUUGUGUUAAAACGGAUGGCACAACCGUUCCCGCCCUUUCCUUUAGAUUACCUGGUCGACCUUUGAACAAAACACCCACCC